rnacentral:misc_RNA from 1 species
UACGUACUGUGCGAACGUUAUUCGGAAUCACUGGGCUUAAAGGGUGCGUAGGCGGCCGGAUCAGUAGGGUGUGAAAGGCCUCGGCUCAACCGAGGCACUGCGCUCUAAACUGUCCGGCUCGAGUAAGAUAGGGGUGUGCGGAACUUCCAGUGGAGCGGUGAAAUGUGUUGAUAUUGGAAGGAACGCCGGUGGCGAAAGCGGCACACUGGGUCUUAACUGACGCUGAGGCACGAAAGCUAGGGUAGCGAACGGG